GGCAGGAUGGCCGAGUUGGUUAUGGCGCCAGGUUAAGGUCUAACCUUAAUAUGUUGAUUUAAUUCUCCUGGUUCGGGAAACUGAGCGUGGGUUCAAGUCCCACUCCUGUCA